rnacentral:rRNA from 1 species
GACGAACGCUGGCGGCGUGCUUAACACAUGCAAGUCGAACGGAAAGGCCCUGCUUUUGUGGGGUGCUCGAGUGGCGAACGGGUGAGUAACACGUGAGUAACCUGCCCUUGACUUUGGGAUAACUUCAGGAAACUGGGGCUAAUACCGGAUAGGAGCUCCUGCUGCAUGGUGGGGGUUGGAAAGUUUCGGCGGUUGGGGAUGGACUCGCGGCUUAUCAGCUUGUUGGUGGGGUAGUGGCUUACCAAGGCUUUGACGGGUAGCCGGCCUGAGAGGGUGACCGGCCACAUUGGGAUUGGGAAACGGCCAGGACUCCUACGGAGGCAGCAGUGGGGAAUAUUGCACAAUGGGCGGAAGCCUGAUGCAGCAACGCCGCGUGCGGGAUGACGGCCUUCGGGUUGUAAACCGCUUUCGCCUGUGACGAAGCGUGAGUGACGGUAAUGGGUAAAGAAGCACCGGCUAACUACGUG